rnacentral:rRNA from 1 species
GAUGAACGCUGGCGGCGUGCCUAAUACAUGCAAGUCGAGCGAACGGACGAGAAGCUUGCUUCUCUGAUGUUAGCGGCGGACGGGUGAGUAACACGUGGAUAACCUACCUAUAAGACUGGGAUAACUUCGGGAAACCGGAGCUAAUACCGGAUGAUAUUUUGAACCGCAUGGUUCAAAAGUGAAAGACGGUCUUGCUGUCACUUAUAGAUGGAUCCGCGCUGCAUUAGCUAGUUGGUAAGGUAACGGCUUACCAAGGCAACGAUGCAUAGCCGACCUGAGAGGGUGAUCGGCCACACUGGAACUGAGACACGGUCCAGACUCCUACGGGAGGCAGCAGUAGGGAAUCUUCCGCAAUGGGCGCAAGCCUGACGGAGCAACGCCGCGUGAGUGAUGAAGGUCUUCGGAUCGUAAAACUCUGUUAUUAGGGAAGAACAUAUGUGUAAGUAACUGUGCACAUCUUGACGGUACCUAAUCAGAAAGCCCCGGCUAACUACGUG